UGUCAAGUUCAACAUCACUUUAAUAUUUGCUAAGUGAACAAACAAUAACUGGAUGGAAAGCUGAUAUCAAAUAAAACUGCUCAUCUUCCUUGAAGACUUGAAGUGAAGUAUGUCCAUGGAAGUCUCUUAAGAAAAAACAAGAUGUGGAAACUGCAGCUCAGAGUUCAGAUCCCCACUAUGCAAAGGGUCAUCCGCGAGCAACAGCAACAGCAUUACCUGGGAACAUCGCCUACUGUCUUACUGGAGUGGCGACCAGCGGCUGCAUGGUACUAGAGCAGCUUGCGUCAGAGAAGAGAUACCCCACGUCCAAGGUCAGGAGCAGCGGCCAAGAGGAGAUACCCCACAUCCAAGGUCAGGAGUGGAGCCCGUGAGGAAAUACCCUAUAUCCAAGAGCACAUCAUAAGAAAUGCUGGGCUGGAUGAGUUACAAGCUGGAAUCAAGAUUUCUGGGAGACACAUCAACAAUAUGCAGAGGAUACCACCCUAACAGCAGAAAGAAAAAGAGGAAAUAAAGACCCUCUUGAUGAGGGUGAAGGAGAAGAGUGAAAAAACCCGGCUUAAAACGCAAUAUUUAAAAAAAAAAAAAAAAACUAAGAUCAUGA